AACUUUCAACAACGGAUCUCUUGGUUCUGGCAUCGAUGAAGAACGCAGCGAAAUGCGAUAAGUAAUGUGAAUUGCAGAAUUCAGUGAAUCAUCGAAUCUUUGAACGCACAUUGCGCCCCUUGGUAUUCCGGGGGGCAUGCCUGUUCGAGCGUCAUUACAACCCUCAAGCUCUGCUUGGUGUUGGGCGUCCCCGG
rnacentral:rRNA from 1 species